rnacentral:rRNA from 1 species
UACGUAGGGGGCUAGCGUUGUCCGGAUUUAUUGGGCGUAAAGAGCGUGUAGGCGGCCAGAUAGGUCUGCUGUGAAAACUCGAGGCUCAACCUCGAGCUGUCGGCGGAAACCAUUUGGCUAGAGUCCGGAAGAGGAAAGUGGAAUUCCUGGUGUAGCGGUGAAAUGCGCAGAUAUCAGGAGGAACACCGGUGGCGAAGGCGGGUCUCUGGGCAGUAACUGACGCUGAGGAGCGAAAGCGUGGGGAGCGAACAGG